UUGUUUAGUUAGAAACCGACGAUGGGAAGAAGACACGACGGAGAUCGGCAACUCGCCGGAGAAGAGAAAAGACUCGAUUAGGGUUUACUAGAACAAGACGGCGAAGAAGAACGGAGAAGACAACAGAGGAGAAGAAGAACAGCAGACGGAGAAGAGGAGGUCCGCCGGAGAAGAAGACAUGGCGCCGGAGACGCGAGAGAAAACGAGAGAGAAAAUUUUUGUAGGGUUUGUCUGGAGGCGGCUUGGUUUGAGCUGUGCUCAAACUGGCUUCGCUUUGCUCAAACUGGCUUCGCUUUGCUCAAACUGGCUUCGCUUUGUAUAUAUAGAAAUAAAUUGCCUCGCAAAUCCGUCGCAACGUUUGCGAGGAACCGACUCACUAACCAAUAGGAUCGCUUCAUUCUUUCGACACAAGUGCGAGGACCCUCGCAAAGUCCUCGCAAAAUUAGAAUUAGGGUUUUCUGGAUUACUAUGCGAAGGAAUUGUGAGGACCCUCACAAAUGCCUCGCAAAAUUAGGGUUACACAAUUAGGGUUUCGCGGCUUAUUCUGCAACAGAAGUGCGAGGACCCUCGCAAAUUCCUCGCAAAAUUAGAAUUAGGGUUUGUCUGGAUUACAGUGCGAGGGAAUUACGGGGACCCUCGCUAAUUCCUCGCAAAAUUGGGGUUACAUAAUUAGGGUUUUGCGGCUUACUCUGUGAGGGAAUUGCGAGCGGUUGUUGUAAAUCCCUCGCAAAUUGCGACCACUUUGCAAGGAAUGCUCGAUUAGGGUCUACGAGUGAAUUGCGAGAUAUAGUCGUAAGUCCCUCGCAAAUUGCUAUGGAUUUGCUAGGAUUAUGUUUUAAAAUAAAAUAAAAUAGAGAUAUUAUGAAAAUAAUAACUUUAAAAUGCAAAAUUAUAAGUAUAAACUUUAAAAUUAGGAAAUUAUAACUUUCAAUUUUUAAAAUCAUUU
rnacentral:sRNA from 1 species